GCCUGGGUGGCUCAGUCGGUUGAGCUUCUGACUUCAGCUCAGGUCACGAUCUCACAGUAUGUGGGUUCGAGCCCCGCAAUGGGCU
rfam:Felis catus isolate Cinnamon breed Abyssinian chromosome D4, whole genome shotgun sequence.